rnacentral:rRNA from 1 species
GUGGAUUCUCAAGCGUGAGGUAAGAGCAUUUGGUGGAUGCCUUGGCAUGUGCAGGCGAUGAAGGACGUGGCACGCUGCGAUAAGCGUCGGGGAGNUGUGAGCAANCUUUGAUCCGGCGAUUUCCGAAUGGGGAAACCCACCCUCACCAUUUCCUUUCGAUNGNNCUUCGGNNNGAUCGGAAAGAGGUGGAUAGGGUAUNACCAGACUGAAUANAUAGGUUUGGUGAAGCGAACCCGGGGAACUGAAACAUCUCAGUACCCGGAGGAAAAGACAUCAACAGAGAUUCCCGUAGUAGUGGCGAGCGAACCGGGACCAGGCCAGUGCCUUCAUUUCAACUAGCAAAACACUUUGGAAAGAGUGGCCAUAGNGGGUGACAGCCCCGUAUGCGAAAGUGAUGAUGAAGGACUCGAGUAGGGCGGGACACGUGAAAUCCUGUCUGAACAUGGGGGGACCNCCCUCCAAGCCUAAAUACUCGCACAUGACCGAUAGCGAACACAGUACCGUGAGGGAAAGGUGAAAAGCACCCCGAUUAGGGGAGUGAAACAGUACCUGAAACCGGAUGCUUACAAGCAGUUGGAGCCCCAUAAGGGGGUGACAGCGUACCUCUUGCAUAAUGGGUCAGUGACUUAAUNUANCNNGCAAGCUUAAGCCGUUAGGUGUAGGCGNAGCGAAAGCGAGUCUGAANAGGGCGNCUNAGUAUGCAUGNAUUAGACCCGAANCCNNGNGAUCUAGNCAUGGNCAGGUUGAAGGUGCNGUAACANGCACUGGAGGACCGAACCNNNNNAUGUUGAAAAAUNNNNGGAUGAGCUGUGUUUAGGGGUGAAAGGCCAAUCAAGCCGGGAAAUAGCUGGUUCUCCGCGAAAUCUAUUGAGGUAGAGCGUCGGAUGUAUGCCGAUGGGGGUAGAGCACUGGAUGGGCUAGGGCUGCGCGAGCGGUACCAAACCUAACCAAACUCCGAAUACCAUCGAGUCUUAUCCGGCAGACAGACGGCGGGUGCUAAGGUCCGUCGUCAAAAGGGAAACAGCCCUAACCUACAGCUAAGGUCCCCAAGUCAUAUCUAAGUGGGAAAGCAUGUGGGAAUCCCAAAACAACCAGGAGGUUGGCUUAGAAGCAGCCAUCCUUUAAAGAAAGCGUAACAGCUCACUGGUCUAAACAAGGGUUCCUGCGGCGAAGAUGUAACGGGGCUAAAGAUAUGCACCGAAGCUUAGGGUUCAGAAUUUAUUCUGAGCGGUAGCGGAGCGUUCCGUAAGCGAGUGAAGGCGAAGGGUAACCGACGCUGGACGUAUCGGAAGUGCGAAUGCUGACAUGAGUAGCGACAAACAGGGUGAGAUGCCCUGUCGCCGAAAGACCAAGGGUUCCUGCGCAAGGCUAAUCCGCGCAGGGUGAGUCGGCCCCUAGGGCGAGGCCGAAAGGCGUAGUCGAUGGGAAACGGGUUAAUAUUCCUGUACUUCUUCAUAAUGCGAUGGGGGGACGG